rnacentral:rRNA from 1 species
CCUUUUGUAUCAGGAAGUUCAUAAUUAUAAUUAGUUAUACCUCCCGAAAAGUUUAGAGCUAUAUAACUAUAUUUUUAGGUUUCAACCUAUUAUAUAAUAUUUAUAUAGAAAAGAUAUUUUAACAAUAAACUUAUAACUGGCUAGAUUUUGAGUAAUUAAAUUACUAUUUUAUAAAUAAAAAAUAAAUCUGCAAGACAACCUUGAAGUUUUCUUAGAAUACAAGUAUUAAAAUAAAGGCCUAACAACCCUACAAUCUAUUAUAAAUUUCAUUCUCUGAUUUAAAUCUUUAAUAAUUAUUUACCUUAUUUAUAAUUAAUCUAUUAGUAUAUAAUUUUUUUUUGUAUUAAAUAAAAAUCUUAUUAUUCGUAAAAAAAAAUAAAAAGAACUCGGCAAAUAUUUAUUUUCGCCUGUUUAACAAAAACAACUUUUAAUUUUUUUAUUUUAAAUAGAGCCUGCUCACUGAUCUUUAAAGAGCCGCAGUAUUCUGACUGUGCUAAGGUAGCAUAAUAAUUAGUUGCUUGAUUAGCUACUGGAAUGAAAGGCCUGACGAGAGAUAACCUCUCUCUUAUUUUAUUUAAAUUAAUAUGAAAAUAAAAAAGUUUUCAUAAAAUAGAAAGACGACAAGACCCUAAAACCUUUAUCAGGGAAUAAUAUUAACUUUUUUACUGGGGAGGUAAAUAAAUUAUUAACUUAAUUCUACACUACAUUUUGGAUGACUUUACCUAACUUUUUUAAAAAUCAAAAAGGUACUUUAGGGGUAACAGCGUAAUUUUUAUCAAGAGACCUAAUCGACAUAUAAAGAUUACGACCUCGAUGUUGAAUUGAUACCCACUUUACUAAGCAAGACCAGUAAGAUGUAGGUCUGUUCGACCUUUAAUCGAUCACAUGAUUUGAGUUCAGACCGGCGUGAGCCAGGUUGGUUUCUAUCUUCUAUUUAGUUUCUGAAUAUAAGUAGUACGCAAGGACCUUUAUGUAGUAA